AGUGAACGCUGGCGGUAGGCCUAACACAUGCAAGUCGAACGGCAGCACAGUAAGAGCUUGCUCUUACGGGUGGCGAGUGGCGGACGGGUGAGGAAUACAUCGGAAUCUACUUUUUCGUGGGGGAUAACGUAGGGAAACUUACGCUAAUACCGCAUACGACCUACGGGUGAAAGCAGGGGAUCUUCGGACCUUGCGCGAUUGAAUGAGCCGAUGUCGGAUUAGCUAGUUGGCGGGGUAAAGGCCCACCAAGGCGACGAUCCGUAGCUGGUCUGAGAGGAUGAUCAGCCACACUGGAACUGAGACACGGCCCAGACUCCUACGGGAGGCAGCAGUGGGGAAUAUUGGACAAUGGGCGCAAGCCUGAUCCAGCCAUACCGCGUGGGUGAAGAAGGCCUUCGGGUUGUAAAGCCCUUUUGUUGGGAAAGAAAAGCAGCAGGUUAAUACCCCGCUGUUCUGACGGUACCCGAAGAAUAAGCACCGGCUAACUUCGUG
rnacentral:rRNA from 1 species